rnacentral:rRNA from 1 species
CAGUCGCCGCGGGAAUACGAAGGGGGCUAGCGUUGUUCGGAAUUACUGGGCGUAAAGCGCACGUAGGCGGAUAUUUAAGUCAGGGGUGAAAUCCCGCAGCUCAACUGCGGAACUGCCUUUGAUACUGGGUAUCUUGAGUAUGGAAGAGGUUAGUGGAAUUGCGAGUGUAGAGGUGAAAUUCGUAGAUAUUCGCAGGAACACCAGUGGCGAAGGCGGCUAACUGGUCCAUAACUGACGCUGAGGUGCGAAAGCGUGGGGAGCAAACAGGAUUAGAGACCCGUGUAGUCCCUGUCUCUUAUAC